UAAAUAUUACUCAUUUUUAAUUUAAGAUGAUGUGACCACAAGGGGUCAGUCAAGACUUUAAUUCUGGAUUUUGUUACUUUGCUAUAAUAUAUAAAAAAAUAGCAAUACUUAGAGCAUGAAUUUUUGAGGACUGCUUGGAACAAAUGUAAGCUAUUUGAAAACAAAGCAGACCGCUCAGCCUAUUACGGAAACAGAGGAGCCCUCUGCCAGACGGGUUCAGGUUCUUAAGAACAGUGGAACCUCUGUCUUAAGUAUUGACAGUUUAGAAACAAAUGACAUGGUAAUUUCUGAGCUCAAUCACAGUGUCCUUGGAUUGGGAUUGGACACAUUAGAAGAACAAGAAGAAAAAGAACAGUUUUUUGCCAGGCUUGAGAAAGGCUUAACAUCUUCCAUUGAUUAUUCAAGAUUAAAUAAGGAGUUAGAUUCUAAUGACUCCAUACAUUUUAAAGCUUUACAUAGGUAAUGUAAAUUCAACAUAAAUUGAUCAUUAAAUGCUUUUCAUGUGUAUGUUUUUGGAAGGGUGAUAUCUGCGUGGACUUAAUGGUAAACAUUGUAACAGGCAAAGGUUAGAUCUUAUUUUUAAGUCUUCUCUGUUCAUUAUUUUGGUCAGGAUAUCACUGCUACAUGAAUGGCGUAUGUUGAUUUGUAUUUGAGAGCCCCCUUUGCCUCCAGAUAUCUGAAAUUUCAUGCCUGAGAUACUGAGACUAACAGUACAUUGCCAAAAAGAUCCUACUAGGAAAGUAAUUAGAAAGUGAUUUUCCACAGAGAGGGUAAAUAAGAAAGUCCAGGGAGCUGUUAUAGCUUCAGGGAGAAAAGGAACAGGAAAGAAGGGGAAGCAGGCAGGGUUGGUCUGUGUCCUCCCUUCGUGGAUGGUUCACCCUGAUGAUUAUCAGGAGGUGUCCAUGUAUCCUGGAAAUCCUACUGGUUGACUGAAGUGGUCCUCUGGUACGUACAGUAGACCUUUGACAUUGUCACCUUUGUGACACCUGGUAUCUUUAAUUUCCUCAGGUUCAGUUUUCAAUUUAAGUUUUAAAAUUACAGAUGGAAGUCAGAUUACAACUUUACAAACACCAAGUGUUAAUAAAGUAAGGAGCAGAGAAUCAUAACCUCUGGAUGUGUAGUACCUGGCCCCCUUAGGCUGUGUAGGUUCUUGCAGACAACGGAUAAAGCAGUACAGUGACUGUCAUGAACUAGCCGUGCGGGGACUGACAAGUCUCCUCAGUGCACUACUGCCUCAUUUUACCCUCCCUGCAAGCUGACAAGUUAGCCUGCCAGUUCCGUGGAUGUGGAUUAGAGAGACAGGAUUCCUGGGUCAGAAAUGAAGGACUAUUCCUCACAACAAAAGCAGUGCCCACGUGUCAUGGUUACUUCCCUCAGUACCCCAUGACCCACAAGGCCCUCGGAGGCAGCACACCGCGCCAUGAUGGUUGUCUGCACGUGCAGUCGGCUGCUUCCCAGGAGAGGAUCACUGAGCUUGCGGAACCUAUUGCUCUUACAGUUAGUGGAGCCACGCCUUCUCUUUGGGCGAUGCUGUUGCUUGCUUUGUCAAGUCUCACUGCCAGCACAACCCGGAGAAAUGCCCUAGGAAAGGAGCGCCUGUGCUUGGAGCUCGCGGCACGCCCUGCCAAGGGCCACCCGAGGACCUGCGCGGAUUGCCCCUCCCCGCCGUGUCAGUGCAGAUUAAGCACACAGGCUUGUUGGCCACAAGUUUUUGCCUCACCCUUUGUAAUAGUUCUUAACUUUUUGUUAUUUCUUAAAAAUAUUCUUACCCACUGUUAUUUCUGCUCUAGAACAAGCUAGUCAGAGUGCUGCAUAGCAUUGAGUAUGCAAUGCUGUUUGCUGUUUUUAUUAUUGUAGUUUUACAGUUUCUUGUAUCUGCUAAAGAUCUCACAGAAGACGAGGUUGAUGGAUUGGAAAAGGUAGAACUGAUUCCUUGGUUUGAAAGAAAGCAGUAGGUGAUUUGCUCAAGCUCCUUUGUCGCUUGUCUGAAUAUUUAUUAGUUUAUGGCUCCUAUUCAGCUUCCAUUUCACGAUUAAAUUGCUUAUUAGCAUGUAAAUGCUGACCCUGGCAUUUUUUUUCUGGCCUCCACGUAGACUUCACUGGUCUCAUCACUUGUGGUCAAUUCCUAAUCUUCCCUGUAGAAAGACUAUCUGGGCCCUAAGACAUGUAAAUGGAUAGAUUUAGGUAUAAAAUUGUAUAUUUAUGUUUGAAGUUAAGAAAUAGUGACAUUUUUUACCCUUUGUAUUUGGCAGUUAAGUUAGUCUUAGACUUUGAGAAUCUUUUAAAAAAGUUUCAAAGCAUUAUCCUUGUAGCUCCCGAAUUUUUAGUUUUUCAUAGAACACGAGUACUUGAGAAAAAAUAUAUAAUAUUAGAGGUUUUUAA